rnacentral:rRNA from 1 species
AACGUAGGAGGCGAGCGUUAUCCGGAGUUACUGGGCGUAAAGCGCAUGUAGGCGGUUGGAUAAGUUGCGUGUGAAAGCUCCUGGCUAAACUAGGAGAGGACAGGCAAGACUGUUCGGCUAGAGGGUGGUAGAGGGGCACAGAAUUCGGGGUGUAGCGGUGAAAUGUGUAGAGAUCCCGAGGAAUACCAGUGGUGAAGACGGUGCCCUGGGCCAUACCUGACGCUGAGGAGCGAAAGCGUGGGGAGCGAACAGG